UGGUAGAUCGUAGGGAUUGUCGCUGGCCUUUGGAAACGAAGGCAUGUGCACGUUCCGAGUUCUCCUUAGUCCUCCUUUGCCUUUCCUUUGGAAAACCCUUUCUUCACACCCGUGCACCCAUUGUAGGUCUCCGCGAGGGGAUCUAUGUCUUCACAUAAACACUACGUAUGUCUAGGAAUGUAUCUAAAAGCGUCGGACGGCUUGGCUUCGUGCCCGGUCGGCGACGGUAAAGAACCAUAAUACAACUUUCAGCAACGGAUCUCUUGGCUCUCGCAUCGAUGAAGAACGCAGCGAAUUGCGAUAAGUAAUGUGAAUUGCAGAUUUUCAGUGAAUCAUCGAAUCUUUGAACGCACCUUGCGCUCCUUGGUAUUCCGAGGAGCAUGCCUGUUUGAGUGUCAUUUAAUUCUCAACCAUCCCUCGAUUCGUUUCGAGGGUUUGGCUUGGAUUUUGGGGGCUGCCGGGCGACCCUAGGGUCUUCGGCUCUCCUUAAAAGCAUUAGCGAUGGCGGCGCGAUCUAACCCCCCCCAUGCAUGAACGGCCUUCGACGUGAUAAUGAUCGUCGUGGCUGGAGUGUUGUUAGUGGGUGUCGUGAAGUCGGCGCUUCUAAAGACCUCGUCGAAAGACGAAAACUCGAAACUUGACCUCAAAUCAGUCCGUAGGGAACCU
rnacentral:rRNA from 1 species